rnacentral:rRNA from 1 species
UGCAGUCGACGAACCUUCGGGUUAGUGGCGGACGGGUGAGUAACGCGUGAGAAUCUGCCCUCAGGAGGGGGAUAACAGUUGGAAACGACUGCUAAUACCCCAUAUGCCGAGAGGUGAAACGAAUUUUGCCUGGGGAUGAGCUCGCGUCUGAUUAGCUUGUUGGUGGGGUAAAAGCCUACCAAGGCUUCGAUCAGUAGCUGGUCUGAGAGGACGAUCAGCCACACUGGGACUGAGAUACGGCCCAGACUCCUACGGGAGGCAGCAGUGGGGAAUUUUCCGCAAUGGGCGCAAGCCUGACGGAGCAACGCCGCGUGAGGGAUGAAGGCCUUUGGGCUGUAAACCUCUUUUCUCAAGGAAGAAGAUCUGACGGUACUUGAGGAAUAAGCCACGGCUAAUUCCGUGCCAGCAGCCGCGGUAAUACGGGAGUGGCAAGCGUUAUCCGGAAUUAUUGGGCGUAAAGCGUCCGCAGGCGGCCGUCUAAGUCUGUUGUUAAAUCGUGGAGCUCAACUCCAUCACGGCAAUGGAAACUGUUCGGCUUGAGUAUGGUAGGGGCAGAGGGAAUUUCCGGUGUAGCGGUGAAAUGCGUAGAUAUCGGGAAGAACACCAGUGGCAAAAGCGCUCUGCUGGGCCAUUACUGACGCUCAUGGACGAAAGCCAGGGGAGCGAAAGGGAUUAGAUACCCCUGUAGUCCUGGCCGUAAACGAUGAACACUAGAUGUUGGGGGAAUCGACCCCUCCGGUGUCGUAGCUAACGCGUUAAGUGUCCGCCUGGGGAGUACGCACGCAAGUGUGAACUCAAGAUUGACGGGGCCCGCACAAGCGUGAGUAUGUGUUU